rnacentral:lncRNA from 1 species
ACAUAGCUCGGGAGUGUCCUAGAGCACCUUUUAUGGGCCAGCCCCAGCAAAUAGCUUCUGGUAGUGUGGCACAGCCAGCAGCUCCAACCACAACUCAGGGCAGUGGCAGAGGUAGAGGGAGAGGGGCAGCCUCUUCUUCUGGUUCCCGAGGUGAAGGUCCAUCAGCUCCAGCCAGGAUCUUCACCAUGACUCAGCAGGAGGC